CCUACGUGUGGCAGCAGUGAGGAAUAUUGGUCAAUGGGCGCGAGCCUGAACCAGCCAAGUAGCGUGAAGGAUGACUGCCCUACGGGUUGUAAACUUCUUUUAUAAAGGAAUAAAGUGAGGCACGUGUGCCUUUUUGUAUGUACUUUAUGAAUAAGGAUCGGCUAACUCCGUGCCAGCAGCCGCGGUAAUACGGAGGAUCCGAGCGUUAUCCGGAUUUAUUGGGUUUAAAGGGAGCGUAGAUGGGUUGUUAAGUCAGUUGUGAAAGUUUGCGGCUAAACCGUAAAAUUGCAAUUGAUACUGGCAGUCUUGAGUACAGGUGAGGUAGGCGGAAUUCGUGGUGUAGCGGUGAAAUGCGUAGAUAUCACGAAGAACUCCGAUUGCGAAGGCAGCUUACUAAACUGCCACUGACAUUGAUGCUCGAAAGUGUGGGUAUCAAACAGGAUUGGAUACCCCGGUAGUC
rnacentral:rRNA from 1 species